GUGUGUCCACAACCUUGGAGCUUGGUCACACCGAAGCGUGGGCACCUUGGAAACCCGCUGCCUUAACUGGUGUCCAAGGUGGGCGCAGGCGUGUGGCAUGGAGCCCUCCUUAGCCGGUGGGCUCUAGGCUAAUUCCAGCAGUUAGUGUCAGAGUUGAAUCCCCCUGUGAAAUGCCCGCUGGUGCGCACGGAGAUUUGGAGAACCGCUUGGGGCGGACAACCCACACCCCUGGUGUCACAGGUGUUCCGAGCAUAGACACUACUUUCCCUUAGUCAUCUGGGUAAAAGCAUCAGGGGCCGCAGGACAAUGUCUCACCAAUACAAAGCAGGAAGCUGGGAUCCUGGGAGUAGGAACAGGAGAAACUGUGUCCAAACCUCCAGAAGGCGAACCCCGGGAGCGGCCUUCAGCAGCGCACCCCAGACAACGGAGGCCGCGGUGCACGCCGUCCAAAGUCUGAGGCCAGCAGGUCAGGGCAGGUCUGGCUGCCCACACACCACGUGAGGAGGGGCCUAGGCCAUUCCAAGGCUUCGCAUGAGCAAGACGCCUGGGUGAAAAAUACCAUGGAGGGAAGGACAAUGAAGGCCGAAUACCCUGUGUCCAGAUCGAUGCCUGAGACCAAGAGCAAACUCUCUAAACCUACGAAUUCCAUUCCUCGUCCCAUCUGGUGUGGAGACGGGGCGAAGGGGCAUCUGCACUGCGCUCCUGCAGCAGGCCGGGAUAGUGCUGCGCACACCAGGACACAGAGGGCCCAUCGGCUUGCACCCUCCCCUUUCCGUCUGCGGACUCUCUUGGUUUCUCCUUGUCUGUCACUCAGAGUUGCUGCUGAAAAGAAGUUCGGUUUCUCCCUGGGCCUGAGCAGUAGGUACAGUUUCCCCGCAACGGGCUUCCGUAAAGUACAGAGACCUUCCCAUCUACCACACACCAGAGUGAAUGUUGAAAACUGUAGGAAAGUUCAUUCACCAAAUCUUAAGAGUAAAAUGUGUUUCCUUGUG